GAUGAACGCUGGCGGCGUGCCUAAUACAUGCAAGUCGAGCGAACAGAUAAGGAGCUUGCUCCUUUGACGUUAGCGGCGGACGGGUGAGUAACACGUGGGUAACCUACCUAUAAGACUGGGAUAACUUCGGGACACCGGAGCUAAUGCCGGCUAAUAUUUCGAACCGCAUGGUUCGAUAGUGUACGCUGGUUUUGCUAUCACUUAUAGAUGGACCCGCGCCGUAUUAGCUAGUAGGUAAGGCAACGGCUGAACCAGGCGGCGAUGCGUAGCCGUCCUGAGCGGGCGAGCGGCCACAGUGGGACUGAGACACGGUCCAGGGUCCUCCGGGGGGGAGCCGUGGGGAAUCUCCGGCAAGGGGCGAAGGCCUGAGGGAGAAACGCCGCGCGUGGGACGAUGGCCUCCGGAUCUUAAAGCCUCUUUGUGGGGGAAGACAACUUGGGGAGGUAACGGGCCGCGCCAGGACGGUACCCGAUCAGAAAGCUGCGGCGACCUCCGGC
rnacentral:rRNA from 1 species